rnacentral:lncRNA from 1 species
CGCGGUAGCACUUGCAUGGAUGCAAACUUGAAUGUGUGAUGUAAUUAUCAAAUAUAAAUGCUUACUGCUUUUGUUGCUUUGAUUCCUUUGCUUUUGUAUGUUCAUCUUGUGGGCCUUGUUAUUCACCGCAUUCUCUAAUAAUUAAAUGCUCUUUGCAUCUUUAAAAUGUUUGCACUUUUCUCAUUUUUGUUUCUUCUACUUGACAGAGAACAGUAGAUGAAGCCAUUUUUCAUCAAGUGAGGGGUCCCCAGCAUCAUCCUUUAGCUGCAAUACAGAGAUUAAACAAAUACAAAGUAAACCUUUUAUCUAGAAACUAUAUUGGAUUUUCCUGUUCAUUCUUUUAGCUUGAAAUUUUCUCAUCUCUUCCCUUGAAACAGCAUGUGUUAGAGGAACCCAAGGCAUUUUCCUCUUUCAGAGAGCGCAUUCCUUACUUACAGGUAAACCCUCUCAUUCAGAACUGGAUUAUUGCUUUGGUGACCAAAUUUCUGACUGUUUUAUGGGUUACUUGUGUGAUUCCAGAAAACCGAAAACGAACGUGUUUGCUUUGGUAGAUCGGGCAUACAUGGAUGGGGCCUCUUUGCACGUAGAGAUAUUCAAGAAGGAGAAAUGGUAUGAUCCUUAUGCAAAGUAUAUGUGAUAACAUUAGAAAGACCCUCCAUUUGCUUUGAUAGAGAAUUAUGACGCCAUUCGACCCAUGUAGCCGACUCCACCUAGUGCGAAUAAGGCUCAUGUAUUGUUGAUACUUCGUUAUGAUUUUGGAUUGUGAUUCUAUUACAAGAAGCAUAAAAUCAUUGUCCUUUAAUCCUUUGUAGCGAUAAUAAGCAUGAUUUAAUUCUAAGCAGGUUCUUGAAUAUCGUGGUGAACAAGUGAGAGGCAGCAUUGUAGAUCUGAGGGAGGCACGCUAUAGAUUAGAAGGCAAAGACUGCUAUGUGAGUGAACUCUCCUCAAACAUCUCAUACACUGCAUCAUUCCCUUUUGUUUUUGUUUCCCCAUGCAUACUUAUUCACAUUCUUUUCCAUCACAUUAACUUUUCCUGGUCUCUAAUCUAUGCAGCUUUUUAAGAUAAGUGAUGAAGUGGUGGUAGAUGCUACUGAUAAAGGAAAUAUAGCAAGGCUGAUUAAUCAUUCUGUGAGUGAACCUAACUCAGAAUCAUUUUAUUUCCACAUCAUUGUUCUCUUGGACACUCACUGCUGCAUAAUCAGUCAUCUAACCAGUUCUUUGGUUUGUGUCAUUACAGUGUAUGCCCAAUUGCUAUGCCAGGAUCAUGAGUGUGGGUGAAGACAAGAGCAGGAUUAUGCUCAUUGCUAAGACUAAUGUAUCUGCUGGUGAUGAGUUAACGUAUAAAUCUCUCUCUCUCUCUCUCUCUCUCUCUCUCUCUAUCUAUCUAUCUAUCUAUAUAUAUAUAUAUAUCAUUCUCUGCAUGUUUGUUCAUGUGUCGAAUAGUAAGAGGCACAGUUAUGACAUAUAUGGUGGUAUACUAAAUUUUAAAAGUUAGAAGACAUAGGCACAAAUAUGAUACAAGAUAUGAAAUUCAUAUAGGUCUAGCAUAAAAACAAAUCUUGAAUUAAAUAUAAUAAAAUGCUAAUAUUUGACUAAUUAUUGGGGCAUUUUCAUUUAACAGUAUAAAAAUUAAAAAAGUAAAUGUAUGAAGUUAUAAAACAUAGUUAGGAGUAUUGGUGAAAUAUCAUAUAUAGAUACAUGUAUGACAUAGAUAUAGGCAUAUAGCAACUAUUUUUAAGUGUGUUGUGUGUGCACAUGCAUUUGGUGAUUUCAGUUUAUAAUGUAUUUUAUGUUUAGUUAAUAAUAAUAAUGGUUGGUUAUUGGGCAGGUAUGACUAUUUAUUUGAUCCUGAUGAACCAGAUGAAUCCAAAGUGCCUUGUCUAUGUAAAGCUCCAAACUGCCGGAAAUUCAUGAAUUAGGAAUGAUUUCAUUAUACAAAUCAAAGAAAAUCAAGAUCAGAUGACAGACCAAUUAUUGUUUCUUCUCCCUGAGGACCACUAACCCCUCCCCUUUUUCAUAGAGGAAACUCAGUUUAUCAAAACAAAAGCAAAAAAUGUAGGCAGAACAAAAAACAAAAAGCAUAGUUUUGUGUUUUAUUUUUACCCAUUUUGGUUUCUUUUGGUCUUCGGGCAUUCAUCAAACAUCUAAUAAAAAAUAUAGAUUGAGCAACUUUGGGCUCUUGGUGACUAUGUAAAUGUAUCACCAGAUUUAUUACUUUUAUUUUCCUGGUUUAAUGUUAAAACCAGUUUCUUCCCUCAAUUUUCUUACCAUGCUCUUCUAGCAAUUUGAUUAUAUUGAAAUUUAUAAUAUACUAUGGAAGUGUGGAUGCAUUGGUCAGAUUUGGGAUGAGCAAUUGACCAUUCAUAUUGUUUAUUCACAUUUUUUUAUUUAUCAAUCGUUUGAGUUUUCAUUUUAUAUAUUCGGUAGGAGAGUCUUAUGACUUAAGUAUCAUAUUGAGUUUGUUAUACUAUUCAAUGUAGGACUCCUAAACACCGAUAUUUUGAGUUUUCAUUUUAUAAUUGUACCAUCAGUUAAUAAGAAGCAAAACCAGUGGAUGAUAAUUAAAAAAUGUGAAUAACACUGAAUAUUGAUAAUCAUUUGUUAAUACCUUUAGCUCACACCGUCCCUAACCCAUCGUGUUUCCGAGUUUUGCAUAGUAACCUUAAAAUAAAAGUGCACAAGCCUCAUACAAAUGAAUAUGAUAUAAUAAUAGCAUGUCGAUUUGAAUAUUAUUAAAAAAUGAAAAACCUAAUAAUGCAAGAAAGAGAACAAGUAACAACCAGUGAUGAGAUAAAUUGUGGAGUGCAGAACCCUAUUUUUCUUGUUUUUACUCUGGAAACAACAAGCUAUAGUAUCAAAUAUGAAUCGUGGUGAAAUAAAAAAAAAUUCAAAUAAAUGCUUUGCUUAAUUUCACGAGGAGUAUUCUACUCCAUGAUCCUUUAAAUCAUUCAUCAAUUCAUGAAGCAAAGCUUUGAACAAGUUACUUGUAAUUGUGAUGAUUAAGGAAUUAUUUUUAUACAAGAAUCAAAAAAAUAAAAACCGGAAAGAAAUAUGUAACAAGAGUAGUAGCAUGAAGAAAUAGAUGGAAAUAGAGUUUACCUGUUGAUACCACUGGUUUGUUGUUGUUCAUCUUUUUCUUUGACCAAACC